UGCCUCAGAGUCUGACCUAUUUUGCGGGUCGACAGCAGAGUCAGAGAAAGCUGUGUCAGAGAGCUGGCAUCCCAGCUAGCUCCUAGGCUCUGUACACUACCCAUGCCCCACACCACAUGGAGGAGCUGGGGUGAUGUCUAUUUCUGGAGACUCAGCUGAUAUCCUACCUGAAAUCUACUUUAAUGGUACUGAAGAUUCAUUUGAAUUCAAGGAAGAGCCACAGGAUGAAUUAACUUGGGUCUCUGAAUCCCUUUAGGGAAAGCCAAUCUCCACCUUGCAAUCUACGGUAGAUACAUGGACAUCUGAGAGCUGUAAAUGCUUAGUGCAUAAUCCAAAACCUGGCACAGAUUUUCAAAGAGGAGG
ensembl:lncRNA